CAUGGCUGUCGUCAGCUCGUGUCGUGAGAUGUUGGGUUAAGUCCCGCAACGAGCGCAACCCUCGCCUUUAGUUGCCAUCAUUAAGUUGGGCACUCUAGAGGGACUGCCGGUGAUAAGCCGGAGGAAGGUGGGGAUGACGUCAAGUCCUCAUGGCCCUUACGGGUUGGGCUACACACGUGCUACAAUGGCGGCGACAAUGGGCAGCGAAGGGGCGACCCGGUGCAAAUCCCAAAAAGCCGUCUCAGUUCGGAUUGUACCCUGCAACUCGAGUGCAUGAAGGUGGAAUCGCUAGUAAUCGCGUAACAGCAUGACGCGGUGAAUACGUUCCCGGGCCUU
rnacentral:rRNA from 1 species